CUAUAAUUUAAUGUUGUCCAACAAUUUCUUCAAAAAGCAUUUUCCCUUUGUGUCAUGAAAAGUUGAAAGUUUAAUUAAAAUAUAAUGAAUUCUAAUAAUAAGCAAACCCUUGAUGUACUAAGUGUGCUAAAGAGGCAUCCAUAACACAUUGAUUUUCUUAAGAGACAUUUACUAUGCAUGCAAAAGGGACAAAUACAAGAACCUAAAAUAUUUAAUUGUUUUUAAUAUUGCAUGAACUUUACAAACUAUAUAAUGAUCGUAUCAUAUUUUGUUUUGGUUCAUGCAAAGAGUGAAAAAGAUGGCUAAUACUCUCAAAUUUGUUUUUGUUACAAUUUUGUUUCUUUCUCUAUUUUUUGUUGCAAAAUGUGGUGACGCAGGACAAGUUGAAUGUAAAAUCGAUGCUGAUUGUCCACAAAUUUCCGAAUUCAUUCCUAUUUUUUAUAAGUGCGUUAACAAUAUAUGUGAAGUUUUAAAGCCAAAACCAUUUUUUGUUU